rnacentral:lncRNA from 1 species
GUAGAGUGAGACUGCUUUAUGGAAAGAGUCACCAUGACCACUCCACUACUGAUGUUUGUACUUCUGGCUCUACCCUGCUACAGCGCAACUGGUCAGCUGACUCUGAAUGUGAGCCAGCUGGUGUCAGAUUGCUGUGGUUCUAGGGCCUAUGAUCCACUCAACCAGCUGUGCUGUGACUCUCAGAUCCUAAUCAGGACCCAACCCCAUUCCAAGUGUUGUGGAAAAGAGCUUUACAAUGAAGACAACCAGCUUUGCUGUGGAGAUGUCGUUAAAAGAAAGGUCCUGACCAAAAUGUCUGGUCACCACCGGUGCUGUGGAGACCACCAGUUUGACCAGCGAAGCCACUGCUGCUGCCACAUCACUGAACCAUCAUAUCAACUAAACCCUAAACCUCUCAAUGCAAGCUGCUGUGCUCCUGCCAUCCAGGAAGUGCUACAUACUAUUCCCCCAGCGCAAACUGGUCAGCACAUGGGAAUUGAUCAGAGUUCUCCAAAAUGUAUGCCUGGGGAGAAGCCUUGUGGUCAAUGUGCCUGCUUUAACCCAACAACAGAACGUUGCUGUGUGAACCCUACAUCUCUCCAGGGACAAAGUUACUCACAUGACCAGACCUGCUGUGAGGGAACACUCUGCCACACCCCAGAUAAGACAGCACAAGGUCACUACCAUGGUGCUAGCUUUGGCUCUCAGGUUUACAAUCCAGACAUCAACAUCUGCUGUUCCGGGAAGCUGUCCAAUAGGGUGCCUGGAAAGAACCUGUGCUGCGGUACAACUCCGUAUGGUGUAGAGGACCGAGGGGUGCUGUGCUGUAACCAGACCUUGCACCGUGUGGUGGAGGAUGGGUACCAGUGCUCCCCAGGUGGCUACUUGUAUCUGCCAUCCCGUGACAUGGUGUGUGGUUCACACGUUCAUCUCAACGAUCCAGGCAAACACUGCUGUGGAGAGGACACAUACGACCCUCAGUAUGAAAUCUGCUGCAACGGACACAAACACAACAGGUUGAGAAAUGUUUCCUGCUGCGGAGGGAAGGCCUAUUACCACAGCAGUGACCAGAUGAAGUGCUGUGCAGAGACUCUGUACAACCUGCAGGUUCAGGACAGACUCUCAGAGGAGGCCCAGUGCUGUGGGAGUGUCCUGAUGGAGGCUGGCUCCACGCAGACCUGCUGCUCUGCCCCAGGGCUAGACCUGGUCUACCCUACCCAGCCAGGGUUCACCUGCUGUGGGCACCGCUACCCCAACUCCUCCCUGUGGUCAUGCUGCGCGGGGGUCCUGUACUCAAGGCCUGAAACACAAACCACCAGCAAGAACAUGAUUCCAGGACCCAGGCUUCUACCACUGGGCGAUCUGAAGACUGAAGUCCUGUGUUACACCGAAGUUCUGCUGGGGACAGUGGAGAGUGUGUCCAUGAAGACGAAUGAGCGGUCCAUCGUGAUGGUGAACGCCAUGUACAUGCUGGCCUCGCGUGGCCAUGUCAACCCCCUGCCUUCCCCUCACUACGUCACAUUACCCGACCACUGCAGCUCCCCUGUAGUGGAGCCGGGCAACACUUACAUCUUGAUGAAAAUACCUUUCUCAGACACCAUAAGAUUCAUCUCUGAUCUCAGCGAUCAUUCCUCCCCUGUCCAUUCCAUCCUUUCCAGGUGCUGAACCUUUUUCUUGCCCAGAGUAAAGCCCUACAUAACGUUUGAAAGCUUUACAGUGUUUGUUUACAGUUACAUUGUUAACAAUCAAUGGCGUAAUAAAAAGCUUAUCUUGGGUUCUGAUGGGGUUCGACAGUUGAACUAAGAUCAUAAGGCACAAGUUAUAUUCUUCCAGAGUCAAUUGGUAUAUAUCGUUCAUUUAAAAGUCAAAAAAUUGCUGUUGCUAUCACAGAUUGCCUCUUUAAGCUAUCAGUAGACAUUUAAACCAUGUUUGUGAAGUGAUUGUAUCACAUUGUGCAAGGACAGGAUAAAAAGCCUAUUUUAACCAAGCAUUUGUGUGUAGGUGUAUGACUUCACCAUUCAUCAAUUCAUGUGGUUGUGUGGGGGUUUGUGGUUUUGUGGUUGCCUUUAUCCCAUCCACAUAUAUGUACCACAUUAUCUGACACUUGAUCACAGGAUCACAUUUUUGUUUUAUUAUUUCACUGCCAAUCUGUGUUUGAUCUUGUCUAGCCAUCUUGUAUCAAGAGGACCACAAAAGUCCUAGACUUUAUUGUGUGUUAUCCUCCAUGAUUAUAUUCAUGUGCAUCUAUGACUUUUAAGUUUUAUGUGUGCUUGUUUUUUUAAAUGGUCGAAUUAAUAAACUAAACUAAAUAAAGGGCACCUAGGGCACUGAGUCUUUGGCUGCGUUUAUGAGCAAAGUGAAAUUAUGAAUAAAAUAUUGUAAAACUGAUAUAUACUGAACAGAAAUAUAAACACAACAUGUAAAGUGUUGGUCCCAUGCCUUAUGAGCUGAAAUAAAAAAUCCCAGAAAUGUUUCCAUAUGCACAAA